AUUUGUAUGUCAAAGGUUGUAGCAGUUAAAAUAAAACGCGAUCUAAAUAAAACGUGCGCAUUAGCAUUUAUUUUUGCAGAUAACGCUAAGAUCGCUAGAGGGCGUGACGAUGCAACGAGAUCGUUAUCCUAUAAUGACAGGCCUACCUGGCUUUUAACAAGACUUUUAAAGAGUGUAUUCUUUGUUCAUCAGAUACAUACCUGGAAAUGUAAUUAUAAUUAUCUACUAACACAAACAUACGAGACAGCAAAUGAUAAGUGAGCCAACAGCAUUUUCGACACGGUGUCCCCUGCGGGUGUAAGGACUCAUCUGAUGAAGUACAACCUUUCUUUGGAUGUCUUCCGAUAAAGGGUCCUGGAAGCUGUGGGAGGGCUCUGGUCCUUCAGUGAGGAGCCGCUCCAUUAGCUUCGGAUGCAGGCGAGUGGAGCAUCAUCUGCCUGGCAUACUGUUUGUCUGUCUGUCAGUCAGCCUGCCAGUCAGCCAUUGUGAUUGUUUGUCUGUCCGUCUGUUUGCCCGCCCCUGUCAAUGCCUUUCAGAGAUUCCGGUCUGUGUAAAGUUGAUUUUUCUUCCAGUCCAUAACUUUUCAUAUCUCAUUAUCUCUCUUUGUGUAUCUCUCUCUGUAUCUCUCUCCCCCUCUCUUUAUCGCUCUCUCACUCUCUAUCUAUCUAUCUAUCUAUCUAUCUAUCUAUCUAUCUAUCUAUCUAU